CAUCUUCAUUUUCCAUUAUCCUUAUGUCAUCUUUUGCAUUCAUUCAUUAUAUUUAGUUUUCAUUUGCUUUUCUAUUUUGCUUUUCCUCCUAAUUUUCAUUUUGAAUAUUAAAGAUGGAGCUCGUGACUAUCAUAUGGAAUCUAAUAUGGUUUCAUUACCCUCUGAAUCCUAGCAUGCAAGGGUCUUUCAAAUAUUACCCUAUGGUUCACCCACUUUAAAAUCUAUGCAUACUGCUCCUUCACAAGGCCUCAGAAACCCCCUAAGGUGAACACAAAUUCAAAUCUUCUUGUACUUACCUGCCUUCUUCUCAUGCAUUGAUCACUGAUGGGAAGCAGAAGCUGAUGAAUUUAAAAAUUAUUAAAUUUGAUACGUUGUAAGUAUAGUUCUUAAUUCACCAAAAAUCUGCCUAUCAAUUUAGAAAUGUGUCACAAAGAGUUUAAAUCAAAAUUACUUGGAGUUUUAAGUCCUAGGUCGUCUCCCAAUGAGUUGCAGAGAAGGGUGCUAUCUUAUUAAUCAGAGGUUCAAAGAAGUUGAGGUAAGUAAAUUGGAAUGUAAACUGAGGAAAAUUAAAUGAUAUGAAUAAAAAACCUUGACUGGGAAUUGAUUAGUUAGAAUCUCUAUCAUUGAUGGAAUGAUUUUUUAGAUGGAUUUAUAAUUAACGGUUACUUUGUUUAGUUAUCCUUUACUAGGUAAGGGAAAGUCAAACAAGUUGGAUUACUAGAUCCGUUCACGAGUUACAACCCACUUAGUUCAAGGGAUUGACGUUGGUGACAGGAUAGCAAUUCAACAAUUAACCCAAUUACAAAUUUUCUUUCAAUCCUUCCAACUCAAGAGUUCCUUUUCAAUCAAUUCCCCAUCAAGUAAUGAAACUACUCACGCAUUGUAAAUAAUAAACCCAUAACACAUAAAAGGAAAUUAAAAGAAGACAUGAUUAUUGGAAUUGAAAUUGAAUUAAAAAGAAAUAAUCCUUGCAUUAGAUAACCAUAAAAGUAUCUGAAUAAUAAAAUUGAACAAAACAAAGAAUAUGGAAGAAUAAAACCAAGAUAAAAAAACAAACUAGAAUGAUGAAGUCUUGAUGAGGAAAUAACUCUUCUCAAUGUUCCAAUGCUAAGACCAAUUGAAAAUUAAAAUUCUAAAAACUAGAGAGAAAAAAAACCUAAGAGAG
rnacentral:lncRNA from 1 species